AACGAACGCUGGCGGCAGGCUUAACACAUGCAAGUCGAGCGCCUCGCAAGGGGAGCGGCAGACGGGUGAGUAACGCGUGGGAACAUGCCCAAAGGUACGGAACAACUCCGGGAAACUAGAGCUAAUACCGUAUGUGACCGAGAGGUGAAAGAUUUAUCGCCUUUGGAUUGGCCCGCGUUGGAUUAGCUAGUUGGUGGGGUAAAGGCCUACCAAGGCGACGAUCCAUAGCUGGUCUGAGAGGAUGAUCAGCCACACUGGGACUGAGACACGGCCCAGACUCCUACGGGAGGCAGCAGUGGGGAAUAUUGGACAAUGGGCGCAAGCCUGAUCCAGCCAUGCCGCGUGUGUGAUGAAGGCCUUAGGGUUGUAAAGCACUUUCGCCAGGGACGAUAAUGACGGUACCUGGAUAAGAAGCCCCGGCUAACUUCGUGCCAGCCGCCGCCGUAACAC
rnacentral:rRNA from 1 species